rnacentral:rRNA from 1 species
UGGGAAGGCCCAGACAGCCAGGAUGUUGGCUUAGAAGCAGCCAUCAUUUAAAGAAAGCGUAAUAGCUCACUGGUCGAGUCGGCCUGCGCGGAAGAUGUAACGGGGCUAAACCAUGCACCGAAGCUGCGGCAGCGACGCUGAUGCGUUGUUGGGUAGGGGAGCGUUCUGUAAGCCUGCGAAGGUGGCCUGUGAGGGUUGCUGGAGGUAUCAGAAGUGCGAAUGCUGACAUAAGUAACGAUAAAGCGGGUGAAAAGCCCGCUCGCCGGAAGACCAAGGGUUCCUGUCCAACGUUAAUCGGGGCAGGGUGAGUCGACCCCUAAGGCGAGGCCGAAAGGCGUAGUCGAUGGGAAACGGGUUAAUAUUCCCGUACUUGGUGUUACUGCGAAGGGGGGACGGAGAAGGCUAUGUUGGCCGGGCGACGGUUGUCCCGGUUUAAGCGUGUAGGUGUGUGUUCCAGGUAAAUCCGGUUCACUUUAACACUGAGGCGUGAUGACGAGGCACUACGGUGCUGAAGCAACAAAUGCCCUGCUUCCAGGAAAAGCCUCUAAGCAUCAGGUAACAUCAAAUCGUACCCCAAACCGACACAGGUGGUCAGGUAGAGAAUACCAAGGCGCUUGAGAGAACUCGGGUGAAGGAACUAGGCAAAAUGGUGCCGUAACUUCGGGAGAAGGCACGCUGACACGUAGGUGAAGUGAUUUACUCAUGGAGCUGAAGUCAGUCGAAGAUACCAGCUGGCUGCAACUGUUUAUUAAAAACACAGCACUGUGCAAACACGAAAGUGGACGUAUACGGUGUGACGCCUGCCCGGUGCCGGAAGGUUAAUUGAUGGGGUCAGCGCAAGCGAAGCUCCUGAUCGAAGCCCCGGUAAACGGCGGCCGUAACUAUAACGGUCCUAAGGUAGCGAAAUUCCUUGUCGGGUAAGUUCCGACCUGCACGAAUGGCGUAAUGAUGGCCAGGCUGUCUCCACCCGAGACUCAGUGAAAUUGAACUCGCUGUGAAGAUGCAGUGUACCCGCGGCAAGACGGAAAGACCCCGUGAACCUUUACUAUAGCUUGACACUGAACAUUGAGCCUUGAUGUGUAGGAUAGGUGGGAGGCUUUGAAGUGUGGACGCCAGUCUGCAUGGAGCCGGCCUUGAAAUACCACCCUUUAAUGUUUGAUGUUCUAACGUGGACCCGUGAUCCGGGUUGCGGACAGUGUCUGGUGGGUAGUUUGACUGGGGCGGUCUCCUCCUAAAGAGUAACGGAGGAGCACGAAGGUUGGCUAAUCCUGGUCGGACAUCAGGAGGUUAGUGCAAUGGCAUAAGCCAGCUUGACUGCGAGCGUGACGGCGCGAGCAGGUGCGAAAGCAGGUCAUAGUGAUCCGGUGGUUCUGAAUGGAAGGGCCAUCGCUCAACGGAUAAAAGGUACUCCGGGGAUAACAGGCUGAUACCGCCCAAGAGUUCAUAUCGACGGCGGUGUUUGGCACCUCGAUGUCGGCUCAUCACAUCCUGGGGCUGAAGUAGGUCCCAAGGGUAUGGCUGUUCGCCAUUUAAAGUGGUACGCGAGCUGGGUUUAGAACGUCGUGAGACAGUUCGGUCCCUAUCUGCCGUGGGCGCUGGAGAACUGAGGGGGGCUGCUCCUAGUACGAGAGGACCGGAGUGGACGCAUCACUGGUGUUCGGGUUGUCAUGCCAAUGGCACUGCCCGGUAGCUAAAUGCGGAAGAGAUAAGUGCUGAAAGCAUCUAAGCACGAAACUUGCCCCGAGAUGAGUUCUCCCUGAGACUUAGAGUCUCCUGAAGGAACGUUGAAGACGACGACGUUGAUAGGCCGGGUGUGUAAGCGCAGCGAUGCGUUGAGCUAACCGGUACUAAUGAACCGUGAGGCUUAACCUU